UACGGAGGGUGCAAGCGUUGUUCGGAAUCACUGGGCGUAAAGGGCUCGUAGGCGGCCAACUAAGUCGGAUGUGAAAUCCCCAGGCUUAACCUGGGAAUUGCAUCCGAUACUGGAUGGCUUGAAUCCGGGAGAGGGAUGCGGAAUUCCAGGUGUAGCGGUGAAAUGCGUAGAUAUCUGGAGGAACACCGGUGGCGAAGGCGGCAUCCUGGACCGGCAUUGACGCUGAUGAGCGAAAGCUAGGGGAGCAAACAGG
rnacentral:rRNA from 1 species